UACGUAGGGUGCAGGCGUUAAUCGGAAUUACUGGGCGUAAAGCGUGCGUAGACGGUUGCGUAAGUCAGAUGUGAAAGCCCCGGGCUCAACCUGGGAAUUGCAUUUGAGACUGCGUAGCUAGGGUGCGGAAGAGGGAAGCGGAAUUUCCGGUGUAGCGGUGAAAUGCGUAGAUAUCGGAAGGAACACCAGUGGCGAAGGCGGCUCUCUGGUCCACAACUGACGCUGAGGUGCGAAAGCUAGGGGAGCAAACGGG
rnacentral:rRNA from 1 species